UGUCCUUCCCCACAGGGCUGAUGGCGGCCGUGACGUUGGACGAGUCCGGGGGCGGCCUCCAGACGCCCGGAGGAGCGCUCAGUCUCGUCUGCAAGGCCUCCGGGUUCUCCUUCAGUGACCGUGGCAUGCACUGGGUGCGACAGGCGCCCGGCAAGGGGCUGGAGUGGGUCGCGGGUAUUUACAGCAGUGGUAGUAGCACAUACUACGGGGCGGCGGUGAAGGGCCGUGCCACCAUCUCGAGGGACAACGGGCAGAGCACAGUGAGGCUGCAGCUGAACAACCUCAGGGCUGAGGACACCGCCACCUACUACUGCGCCAAAAAUGCUGAUGCUGGUGGUUGGCAUGCUGAUGAUAUUGAUGUCACUCUUGGAUUCAUGGGGUCACCGACAGCCCAGAUCGACAGAUCAGAGCCCAAGGGACGGAGCUGAGCCCAAAAUGUCCAG